rnacentral:rRNA from 1 species
AUGGUAGGAUAGAGGCCUACCAUGGUGGUAACGGGUAACGGGGUGUUAGGGCACGACACCGGAGAGGGAGCCUGAGAAACGGCUACCACAUCCAAGGAAGGCAGCAGGCGCGCAAAUUACCCAAUCCCGACACGGGGAGGUAGUGACAAUAAAUAACAAUACAGGGUUCUUUGAAUCUUGUAAUUGGAAUGAGUACAAUUUAAAUCUCUUAACGAGGAACAAUUGGAGGGCAAGUCUGGUGCCAGCAGCCGCGGUAAUUCCAGCUCCAAUAGCGUAUAUAAAAGUUGUUGCAGUUAAAAAGCUCGUAGUUGAAUUUCGGGAUCAAUACGUCGGUCGUGCUUUCGGGUACGUACUGGCGUCAUUGGUUUCUCCUUUCUGACGAACCAUGAUGUCAUUAAUUUGGUGUUAUGGGGAGUUAGGACUGUUACUUUGAAAAAAUUAGAGUGUUUAAAGCAGGCAUUAGCUUGAAUACAUUAGCAUGGAAUAAUGAAAUAGGACGUUCGAUCCUAUUUUGUUGGUUUCUAGGAUCAACGUGAUGAUUAAUAGGGAUAGUUGGGGGCAUUAGUAUUCAAUUGUCAGAGGUGAAAUUCUUGGAUUUAUUGAAGACUAACUACUGCGAAAGCAUUUGCCAAGGAUGUUUUCAUUAAUCAAGAACGAAAGUUAGGGGAUCGAAGACGAUCAGAUACCGUCGUAGUCUUAACCAUAAACUAUGCCGACUAGGGAUCGGAUGAUGUUAAUUUUUUAAUGACUCAUUCGGCGCCUUACGGGAAACCAAAGUGUUUGGG